rnacentral:lncRNA from 1 species
GGGAUUUCUAGGAUUUCUGGUGAGUGGUUUUGCAGAAGCAGAAGAGCAGUUUACACUGUGUGGGGCUGCCGGGGCUGCUGUCAGCGGAGCACGGGGCCAGCGCUGACCACAGAGUUAACUUUGCAGUUGUGAAUGGGUUAACUGAGGAUGAAUCAAGCUGUUCUGAUUUUUGAGAAAGCAGCAGCUAUGUGCUGCUACGUGGUGUGUGGUAGUGAUGUCGCCUCACCCCAGGAGAGCUGCAGAGCUACUUUGCUGCCUGUGAAGAUGAGACACCGGCCAUCAGAAACCACGACAAGGUUCUGCAGCGGCUCUGUGAACAUCUGGACCAUGCUCUGCUCUACGGCCUGCAAGAUCUUUCCUCGGGCUAUUGGGUGCUGGUCGUUCACUUCACCCGCCGGGAAGCCAUCAAACAGAUAGAAGUGCUUCAACAUGUGGCCACCAACUUGGGACGCAGUAAGUAUUUGCAGAUGCUGCCCCAGCUCUGUGAGCAAACCUCGGUUCAGGGAUAUCUGGCAGGAGACCCAGGCGAGUUGUGUUGGCCACGUGAUGCGGGCUGGGGCUGCAGGCAGGCUGAGGGAGCCAGUGGGCAGCUCCCCACUAAGUCUGGCUCACCUUGGCUAAGGAGAUGAGAGUCCUGGCAUGCUGGCUCUAAAAAUAAUUUUACCAUGCCUCAGGACUGGGUGUUGCUGGGUCAGAGAUCACAGAAUCAUUCAGGUUGGAAAAGAC